CAAUAAACUGUGUAGGAGUUCAUGAUUGCAAUAGAAUAAAAUCGACCAAGCCUGAAGUCAGCAGCCCCUUCAAUGAAUGCAGCAGUGUGACAGCCAGCAAUCAAAAGUUACAAGAUAUCGAGGAAAUGCAGAUGGCAAUAAACUGUGUAGGAGUUUAUGAUUGCAAUAGAAUAAAAUCGACCAAGCCUGAAGUCAGCAGCCCCUUCAAUGAAUGCAGCAGUGUGACAGCCAGCAAUCAAAAGUAACAAGAUAUCGAGGAAAUGCAGAAGGCAAAAAACUGCGUAGGAGAUCAUUAAUACAAUAGUAUUAUAUAAACCAAGCCUGAUGUUGGCCGCUCAUUCAAAGAAUGCAGCAGUGUGACAGCCAGCAAUCAAAAGUAACAA